UACGUAGGUGGCAAGCGUUGUCCGGAUUUAUUGGGUUUAAAGGGUGCGUAGGCGGUCUAUUAAGUCAGUGGUGAAAUACUCCAGCUUAACUGGAGGGGUGCCAUUGAUACUGAUGGACUUGAGUGAAGUCGAGGUAGGCGGAAUUGACGGUGUAGCGGUGAAAUGCUUAGAUAUCAGGAGGAAUACCGGUGGCGAAAGCGACUCUCUGGACGGUUACUGACGCUGAGGCACGAAAGCGUGGGGAGCAAACAGG
rnacentral:rRNA from 1 species